CAUGAAGAAGAGCAGAGCCAGCUGAAUGAGGAACUUUGAGACUUGGAAAUUUCUAGAGGAAUGCAGAUUACAAGAUGUUUACCUUAUGACAAUAUACAGAAUUAAAUUGCUGAUCACAUCAAAAAAGUCCUGAGGAAUACAAAAAAAAGAUAUGCCUGAGAAUAGUCACCAUUGAUGGCAAAAUGAAAUAUUUUCAGACACUACAAGAAGUAGUACAUUAUAGAAGCAAAAUAAUACAUCUAGCAGAAGCAACACCAUUUUUAGAAAAAAUAGAGGAUGAGACGAAAAGCCUGAGAAAUAUCUUAAGGAUAAGAUAUAUAAAGAAAAUCAAAUGGAUUUUUAAAUGUCAAUUUCAGACACAUGUAAAAAUGCAUGUUAAAUUGGACCAAACAAUAACCAUAAUUGUAAACAUGAAUGUACUAACACAAAGCAGAUCCUUAUGAAAGGUCCAUCCUGUGCUAUGCUAACGAAUAGCUCCAUCGUAGAUGACAUACCAGUAAUAGAAGACAUGCUACAUAAUAUGGAUGAGCUUGAGGAAGAUAGAAUUAAAUAGACAUAUUUGAACCAAAGAAUGAGCAUUAGGCAUAACAGAAAGGAGAAGCUUAAUACUGAUGACAUGCAGUUGCUUAAAAAUAAUCCACAUAUUUUUAAUAAUAUAAUCUAAAAGAAACAGGUAUUUUUAGAAAUAAAUAUGGCAUAUCUAGCUAUUAUCAUAGGACGUUGUGGUUGCAUUGUCCUUGGUACAAAAUAGUCGAUCCAAGACAUGAUGGAAAUAGAUUUUGUUAAAUGUUUUU
rnacentral:lncRNA from 1 species